AGAGUUUGAUCCCUGGCUCAGGACGAACGCUGGCGGCGUGCUUAACACAUGCAAGUCGAGCGGUAAGGCCACUUCGGUGGUACACGAGCGGCGAACGGGUGAGUAACACGUGAGCAACCUGCCCUUCUCUUCGGAAUAAGCGUUGGAAACGACGUCUAAUGCCGAAUAUGACUUCCUUUUGCAUGAUUGGAAGUGGAAAGCUCCGGCGGAGAGGGAUGGGCUCGCGGCCUAUCAGCUAGUUGGUGUGGGUAAUGGCCCACCAAGGCGACGACGGGUAGCCGGCCUGAGAGGGUGACCGGCCACACUGGGACUGAGACACGGCCCAGACUCCUACGGGAGGCAGCAGUGGGGAAUAUUGGACAAUGGGCGAAAGCCUGAUCCAGCAACGCCGCGUGAGGGAUGACGGCCUUCGGGUUGUAAACCUCUUUCAGCGGGGACGAAGCGAAAGUGACGGACCCGCA
rnacentral:rRNA from 1 species